rnacentral:rRNA from 1 species
UGGGCGUUAAGCGUAUUGUGGCGGACAUGUUAGUCGUGGUGUGAAUUUCAGAGGUCAACUCCCGGGCUGCUUCGAAACUGGUGGAUAGAGAAAGGGAAAAAGGACUGGGACUUCUGAGGGAGUAAUGAAAUGCGUUGAUAUCAUGGGGAACACCAAAGGGGAAAGGCGGUUUUUGGGACUUUUCUGACGCUGAAUACCAAAGCGUGGGGGAGGAAUGGGAUUAGAUACCCCUGGAGUCCCCGCCCGAAACGAUGCAUAUUCAGAUGGUGGAGGAUAUCCCCUCUGCGUGUUUUAGCUAACGCGUUAAUAUGCCGCCUGGGGGAUUACGGCGCAAGCUUAAAACUUCAAGGAAUUGACGGGGGAUCCCGCACAAGUGGUGGAGCAUGUGGUUUAAUUCGACAAUAAGCGAGAAACCUCACCUGGGUUUGAACUUAGCUGCAAGCUCUUAGAAAUAAGGCCGCCUUCCUUGGUGCUAAUCAGGUGCUGCAUGGGCAUGGCUGGCUCGUGCUCGUGGGUGGUCACUUAAGUGUAAGAAACGAGCGCAACCCUUGUCUUGUGUCUUAUGUGUCAUACGAGACUGCCCAGACUUUAGUCUACUGAUCGAGUGAUUCCGAAUGAAGAGGCUGAUAAGAAGGAGAGCAUGACGUCCUAAUGGCCUGGGCUUUGACGUCCUGGGCAUGACACGUGCUACAGUGACUAGAAUAAAGGGGUGCAAAACAUCGAAGAGAGAGCUAACUCCGAUCAUAUAGGAUCCUGUCGCAUUGCACCC